AGGUUAAGCUACAAAGAGCACACGGAGGAUGCCUAGGCGCCAGGAGCCGACGAAGGACGUGGCGAACAACGAUAAAGCCUCGGGGAGCUGUAAGCAAGCUUUGAUCCGGGGAUGUCCGAAUGGGGAAACCCGGCUGUCUUCAUCGACAGUCACUUUCUGCUGAAUACAUAGGCAGAACAGAGGCAUACCAGGGGAACUGAAACAUCUAAGUACCCUGAGGAAGAGAAAACAAUAGUGAUUCCGUCAGUAGCGGCGAGCGAACGCGGAUUAGCCCAAACCAAGGAGCUUGCUCCUUGGGGUUGUGGGACGUCUCACAUGGAGUUACAAAGGAACCGGUUAGAUGAAGAGGUCUGGAAAGGCCCGCCA
rnacentral:rRNA from 1 species